GUCUUUUUGAGUUAUUUUUAAAGUCUGACCUGCCCACUGAAUAUUUUUAAAUGGCCGCAGUAUUCUAACUGUGCAAAGGUAGCAUAAUCAUUAGUCUUUUAAUUGAAGGCUGGUAUGAACGGUUGGACGAAGUAUAAGCUGUUUCAUAUAAAAUUAUAUUAGAAUUUUAUAUUUUAGUUAAAAAGCUAAAAUAUUAUUAAAAGACGAGAAGACCCUAUAAAUCUUUAUAUUUAAUAUUAUUCAAAUUUUUUUGAUUAAUUUUAUUUUUAUAAUAUUAAAUAUUUUGUUGGGGUGAUAUUAAAAUUUAACAAACUUUUAAUUUUGAAUUAGAACAUUAAUUUAUGAAUAGUUGAUCCAUUAUUAAUGAUUAUAAGAUUAAGUUACUUUAGGGAUAACAGCGUAAUUUUUUUUGAGAGUUCAUAUCGAUAAAAAAGUUUGCGACCUCGAUGUUGGAUUAAGAUAUAUAUUUAGGUGUAGCCGUUUAAAUAUUAAGUCUGUUCGACUUUUAAAUUCUUACAU
rnacentral:rRNA from 1 species